rnacentral:sRNA from 1 species
UUAUAGCACUGUUUUCAUGGGUAAAUAUAUUCUCCCGCAUCAAUUAGCUAAGAUGAUAUCUCUUUUAGAUAAUGAGCUAAUUAAGAGGAUCUGACCGGAAAAAAAAACAGUUGAAUUAAAAACUCUAAGCCUAGUUGUUCCGUGUAUAAAUAUAUGCAUGAACUGGUCAUUUGAGUAUCAUAUAUAUAGAGCACGAUUUAAUUAAUCACGUUAAAUAUCGGGUCGUGUUUUUUAUGCGUGUUGUCUUCUAAUUUUGUCACAUUAAGCAGCUGGGCUAUCAUUAUUCUAUUUUUUCUUUCCUUUUUCCACAAAAUGAGGAAAAGGAUGAAAUAUACAAUCCAUUGAUCAAGCAAGGACGCAUUUGCAAACGACCAUGCCUACAAUCUACAAAGAUCAUAUAAAGCCAGAAGGUUUCAUCGUGUUUAUCUAUCUUGCACAUGUGAAUCCAAAAUUUGGAAUAAUUCAGAAUGCAGAAUAUGGAGAUACCCUCAUAAUAGAUGUUGAAAUAUCUUUUCGCAUGAUUUACUCUUUCAAUUCCGUCCACUUUUACUAACCUAGCUAGACUUAUUCUAAUUUCAGAUAAUCAAACUUUAUACAGUUUGCCAAUAAUUAUAUGUAUAGUAGUAUUUAGUACCUACAAGCUAUACCAAAUUAAUAAUAGAUCAUAUAUCUGAUUCACACAAACUAUAUAUACUGAAUUUAUCGUACUCUAAGAUACAUAUUGCAAAUCAGAAAUCACCCAUCUGAGCAGUUCUUUACAUUUUUCUCUUUUCCAAAAUAUCUUUGCAUAUUCCAAAGGGUCAUGAAUUUAGUGCAAAACCCAAAAGAACCAUCUAGUUUGAAAAUAAUAAGAUAUAAACACUGAUACGUUUGUUUUGCCUUUACGGUAGUCUUUGUUGGUAGUAGAAGCCAACCUAGACAUUCAUCUUCUCUAAUCUAAUGGAUUGUAUAUAUUUAUAACGGGAAGGCUAAAUGGCUGUCGAAUGAUUUUUGAUAGCUAAAUCAUUCAUGUUUUAAUAUAUUCAGAACCGUUGUUUCAUAUGUUGUAGUAAAAUAUUACAUGAGGUGAUUUGAUUGUGUUUCAGUCUUUUAAAAGAUUGAAACAUUUUCGAUCUACUUGGUAAAACAACGCUCGAUUGGCUUCGAAAUUUGCAUGAUGGAAGCCUAAAAAAUCAUGCGAAUCCCAUAUAAACUUUUUCUCGAUGUACUCGGAUUUGUUUCAUGUUUUAAUAUAUUUAGAACCAUAGUUUCAUAUGUUAUGUUGUAGCAAAAAGUUUCAUGGGGUGAUUUGAUUGUGUUCCAGCUUUUUAAAAAGAUUGAAACAUUUUCAAUCUACUUGGUGAAACAUUUUCGCUCUACUUGAUGAAACACUGCAUGAUGGAAGCCUAAAAAAUCAUGUGAAUCCCAUAUAGACAGCUAUUUAUAACGCACAUUACAAUUACAAGAACUAAAUGGGGUUUAUGCAGAUUUUUGCUAACCAUAGAUGAAGGUUUAGGAAUAGGUCAUCAUUUGUGCCUGUAGGCUGGUGUAGGCUGGUGUUUCAGUUAGUUCUCUUGUUUUCCAUCAAAUUGCGUUGUGCAAUUCACAAUCGUUUUAAUGCAAACUUCGUAAUAAUUUGGUUGUAACUUAUUCAGAGCAAAGACUGGAAUGGUUCUUCCAUUAUCUAAAAUGUAGAAUUCAUAAAUCAACAAUUAGGAUCACUUUUACUAGUGAUAAUAAGCAAAGGUACAUGAAAUUGGUUUUUUAGAAUAUUACAGAAAUUAGAAAAUGGCAAAGUAUUUAUUGUUGUCCUGCUGUUAAUUAAAAAACCGACGUUUAAACAUCUAAAAAAACCUCCGAUGAGGUUUACACAUAUCACAAAUAGCACAUUUAUAAUUGAUUCAACCCUACACUACAUAGGCACUUCCAAGGCAAUUUUAUUACUAGGACUAAUUAAUUAAUUAGCUGAAAACACACAUACACAAAAAGAAAUAAAAAGUCAAGUGGUAGGCAGCUUGCGUUUGUAGGUGGCAGCGCAGCAGACGAAGGCGAUGAGGUUGAUGAGCUGCAACGCCGCCAUCAACCAGAAGAAUCGAUCGAGAUGUCCCUCGUUCAGAUUCUCCG